rnacentral:lncRNA from 1 species
ACUAUCAUCAUUGCCCCUCUUCUCCUCUUUCCUGAUACAAUGAUUGGGUCAUCACCAACUCUUCUCGAAUGUUGGCAAGUUGUUGUUGGUCAUUCUUUCUUUUUCUUCCCAUUAAGCCUUCUUCCUCCUCUCCAAACUUCUCUCUCUCUCUCCAAACCUCUCUCCUUCAUUAGAUCUAUCCCCAUGCUAAUCUUCUUCCUCUGAUGAUGGCC